CAGUCUUUCACUUCCAUAUAUUUCACUUCCAAUAUCACCUGACACAUGAUGAUGUAUUCUCUAACGUGUCUGCUUGUUUUGUGUAUGUGUGACCUCAGUUUUUUCCAAUUUACCACAGCUACCAGGUAGAGGUACUGACGGUGUCUGUGAUUAAGCAUCAUACUAUUACAGCAUCUACCAAUAAGAAUAUUAAGACCAAAUAAAUUCUCCCACUAGAUUGACUACACAGUAGGUAAAUUCGGAGAAUUAUUUGCGAAGCCAAAAGCAGCUUUUGAAAGCAGGAACCUGGGAAUCCAAGCAGUGGGUGUUUUGAGGAUGAUCCAGAUACACUUAGGAGUAUUCAGAUCAUGAAACUCCAUGACAUGAAGGGAAAAGGUGAGGCAUCACUGCAAUAUGAUGUUAAAAUAGUAAUCUUGGCCUGGUGUGGUGGCUCACACCUGUAAUCCCAGCACUUUGGGAGGCUGAGGUGGGAGGAUUGGUGAAGCUAGGAGUUUGAGACCAGCCUGGGCAACAAAGUGAGACCCUGUCUCUACAAAAAUAAAAAAUUUAGCUGGGUGUGGUGGCACCUGCCUAUAGUUCCAGCUACUCGGGUGGCUGAGGCGGGAGUAUCACUUGAGCCCAGGAGGUCAAGGCUGCGUUGAGCUGUGAUUACACCACUACACUCCAGCCUGGGCAGCCGAGUGAGACCCUGUCUCUGAAAAAAUAAAACAACAACAACAAAACAAAAAACAAAAAAACCUAUCUUGAACCAUUCCCCUCUCACGACAAGGUCUUAAUGGGGGCAGAUAAUAUGACAGAGAGACAUUCAGAGCAGGCAGAGGUGUCAUCGAUUUGAUUCACGAGUCUGAAAUCUUGUUUUUAAUGUUUAAGCAUUACUCUUUGACAAUUGAGAGAAAACAAUCCCCCUGGGAGGAGGAAAGUGGCCAAAAGAAAAUGGAACAGCUGAGAAAGAAUGGAAAUGAUUCUAAUGCUCCACGACACAGAGCCAAGUGGGAGGGAAGCCAGGGUAAAUGAUCCGAGCCCGUCUAUGAAACAGCCCGCCUCAGCUUGCGCGCUGGGUGCUUACUCAGUGAAGCAAUAACAACUCUGUCAUGGCUGACACAGCUGGAGCUCCUCCAUGUUAGUCAGCUGCAGGAAACCAGCCUAUGUCCAUUGUGCAAGAAGAGUCUGAACACUAGAGACACAGGCACACAAGAUUGCAUCUCUACUCCGCUUCUCCUUGGUUGUUAUGGGAAGUGAGUGUCUCAAGUUAAAUAAACUAGACUCUGGGGAACUAUACAGUAAAGACUUAGUGAUCGGCACAGCUUGGCAUUUAUGGUGAUUAAAGAUACAAAACAUAUUACAACUUUAAUUUGUCUUAGUAA
rnacentral:lncRNA from 1 species